UACGUAGGUGACAAGCGUUGUCCGGAUUUACUGGGCGUAAAGAGCGCGCAGGCGGUCGAUCAAGUCGAGUGUGAAAGCCCCCGGCUCAACUGGGGAGGGUCACGCGAUACUGAUCGACUCGAAGGCAGGAGAGGGAAGUGGAAUUCCUGGUGUAGCGGUGAAAUGCGCAGAUAUCAGGAAGAACACCCGUGGCGAAGGCGGCUCUCUGGGACGGUACUGACGCUGAGACGCGAAAGCGUGGGGAGCGAACAGG
rnacentral:rRNA from 1 species